rnacentral:tRNA from 1 species
GGGUGCUUAGCUCAGCUGGUAGAGCGUCGCCUUUACACGGCGAAUGUUGGGAGUUCGAGCCUCUCAGCACCCACCA